rnacentral:rRNA from 1 species
UCCCAGACUCCUACGGGAGGCAGCAGUGAGGAAUAUUGGUCAAUGGGCUUACGCCUGAACCAGCCAAGUCGCGUGAGGGAAGACUGCCCUAUGGGUUGUAAACCUCUUUUGUCAGGGAGCAACGCCGGCUACGUGUAGCCGGACUGAGAGUACCUGAAGAAAAAGCAUCGGCUAACUCCGUGCCAGCAGCCGCGGUAAUACGGAGGAUGCGAGCGUUAUCCGGAUUUAUUGGGUUUAAAGGGUGCGCAGGCGGCACGGCAAGCCGGCGGUCAAAUCGCGGGGCUCAACCCCGCCCAGCCGUCGGAACUGCCGGGCUGGAGUGUCGGAGGGGCAGGCGGAAUUCCUAGUGUAGCGGUGAAAUGCGUAGAUAUUAGGAGGAACACCGGUGGCGAAGGCGGCCUGCUGGACGACGACUGACGCUGAGGCUCGAAAGCGUGGGGAGCAAACAGGAUUAGAUACCCGGGUAAA